rnacentral:rRNA from 1 species
UACGUAGGUGGCAAGCGUUGUCCGGAUUUACUGGGUGUAAAGGGCGUGUAGCCGGGGAGACAAGUCAGAUGUGAAAUCUGGAGGCUCAACCUCCAAACUGCAUUUGAAACUGUUUCUCUUGAGUAUCGGAGAGGUAGUCGGAAUUCCUAGUGUAGCGGUGAAAUGCGUAGAUAUUAGGAAGAACACCAGUGGCGAAGGCGGAUUACUGGACGACAACUGACGGUGAGGCGCGAAAGCGUGGGGAGCAAACAGG